AUGGAUUAAGUGACAAUUUGGAGCAAAAGCAUGCAGUUCAAAAGCUAAAGCUCCCAUUGGAGAACAGAAAAUUUAAUGAGCUUUUAAUGGAAUGCAAUGCUCAGAGUAGUAAAUUAUUUGUUAGUUGGCAAUGCAAUCAGCAUGCUGAUUAGUGUUGCUUGGUUUUUUACUAAACAUUAACAAAAUCAAAACAGUCAGUCCUUGUUCUGUUGGGGGCUCUUGUGGAGCAAAUGGAUGUUCAGAACAGAGACUGUCAAUAAAAGGUGAGAUUCCUUGUGAUGUUUCAUAGCCAGAUCACUGAAGCCUUUUGAGUCCAGGACUGCUGCUCUCCAACUUGGCCUCUGAAGAAAUGCUGUCAUCCUCAGCAGGCUGGAUAAAUACAACCAUUUUUUUCAACUACUUUUUACUUUAUGUUUCACAAUUUCUUCUUCCCUUUUCAAAGAGAAGAUGCCCAACAGCCCACCAUCUUCCAUUCUUUCUCCUCUUCCUUGUGCUAAGAAGACUUAUUCAGCUUCAUUCCUGAACUGGAUCUAUGAAUUUUAACAGAGGUACUUUCUGUCCUCAGCACCUGCCAGAGUAGACUGAUGUAAGAAAGCUGAUACUCGUACAGAAAACCUGACUUACACAUGCAUCUUUGUUCUGGUGGGAUGCUGAAAGUAUGAGGUCAUGUUCUUAUUAAUUGCAUUUAUGACAAUGUGAUCAUAACUGAGCAAAAAUAUUACUCUAAGAAUCAUGUUCCACAGGUCUGGCUGCAGUGGUUUUGUGUGCUACGCCACCAUUUGUGGAUACAAAAAUGCUGUUAGCAAGA